CAGGUGGGUCAGGUAGAUUCCAGGUAGGUUAUACUACAGGUGUUGGAGUCAGGUGGGGUCAGGAUAUAGUCCAGGUAGGUUAUACUACAGGUGUUGGAGUCAGGUGGGUCAGGUACAGUCCAGGUAGGUUAACUACAGGGUGUUUGGAGUCAGGGUGGGUCAGGUAUAGUCCAGGUAGGUUAUACUACAGGUGUUGGAGUCAGGUGGGUCAGGUAGGUUAUACUACAGGUGUUGGAGUCAGGUGGGUCAGGUAUAGUCCAGGUAGGUUAUACUACAGGUGUUGGAGUCAGGUGGGUCAGGUAUAUCCAGGUAGGUAUACUAAACAGGUGGUUUGGAGUC
ensembl:lncRNA